rnacentral:tRNA from 1996 species
CGGGGUGUAGCGCAGCUUGGUAGCGCAUCCGCUUUGGGAGCGGAAGGCCGCAGGUUCAAAUCCUGUCACCCCGACCA